UGAGGAAUCUUGGACAAUGGGCGAAAGCCUGAUCCAGCCAUGCCGCGUGAAUGAUGAAGGCCUUAGGGUUGUAAAAUUCUUUCAGCAGGGAAGAUAAUGACGGUACCUGCAGAAGAAGCCCCGGCUAACUCCGUGCCAGCAGCCGCGGUAAUACGGAGGGGGCUAGCGUUGUUCGGAAUUACUGGGCGUAAAGCGCUCGUAGGCGGAUUGAUAAGUCAGAGGUGAAAGCCCAGGGCUCAACCUUGGAAUUGCCUUUGAAACUGUCAGUCUUGAGUUCAGGAGAGGUGAGCGGAAUUCCGAGUGUAGAGGUGAAAUUCGUAGAUAUUCGGAGGAACACCAGAGGCGAAGGCGGCUCACUGGACUGAUACUGACGCUGAGGAGCGAAAGCGUGGGGAGCAAACAGGAUUAGAUACCCUGGUAGUCCACGCCGUAAACUAUGAGAGCUAGUUGUCAGCAAGCAUGCUUGUUGGUGACGCAGCUAACGCAUUAAGCUCUCCGCCUGGGGAGUACGGUCGCAAGAAUUA
rnacentral:rRNA from 1 species